rnacentral:rRNA from 1 species
CUGGCGGCGUGCCUAACACAUGCAAGUCGAACGUGAAAGGGAGCAAUCCCAAGUAAAGUGGCGUACGGGUGAGUAACGCGUAGGUAAUCUACCCCAGAGUCUGGAAUAACCUGCCGAAAGGCGGGCUAAUACUGGAUAGAGCGACGGAAUCCGUAAUUGGGUUUUUCGGGAAAGGGAGGAAGCAAUUCCCUUCGCUCUGGGAUGAGCCUGCGUCUCAUUAGCUAGUUGGUGGGGUAAAGGCCCACCAAGGCGAUGAUGGGUACUGGUCUGAGAGGAUGAUCAGCCACACUGGAACUGAAACACGGUCCAGACUCCUACGGGAGGCAGCAGUGGGGAAUCUUGCGCAAUGGACGAAAGUCUGACGCAGCCACGCCGCGUGAGUGAAGAAGGCCUUCGGGUUGUAAAGCUCUGUCGCUCGGGACGAAAAACUGGGAAGUGAAUAGCUUUCUAGUCUGACGGUACCGAUAGAGGAAGCACCGGCUAACUCCGUGCCACAGCCGCGGUAAUACGGA